rnacentral:rRNA from 1 species
GACGAACGCUGGCGGUGUGCCUAAUACAUGCAAGUAGAACGCACAGUUUAUACCGUAGCUUGCUACACCAUAGACUGUGAGUUGCGAACGGGUGAGUAACGCGUAGGUAACCUGCCUGGUAGCGGGGGAUAACUAUUGGAAACGAUAGCUAAUACCGCAUAAUAUUAAUUAUUGCAUGAUAAUUAAUUGAAAGGUGCAAUUGCACCACUACCAGAUGGACCUGCGUUGUAUUAGCUAGUAGGUGAGGUAACGGCUCACCUAGGCGACGAUACAUAGCCGACCUGAGAGGGUGAUCGGCCACACUGGGACUGAGACACGGCCCAGACUCCUACGGGAGGCAGCAGUAGGGAAUCUUCGGCAAUGGACGAAAGUCUGACCGAGCAACGCCGCGUGAGUGAAGAAGGGUUUCGGAUCGUAAAGCUCUGUUGUAAGAGCAGAACGGGUGUGAGAGUGGAAAGUUCACACUGUGACGGUAUCUUACCAGAAAGAGACGGCUAACUACGUG